GAAAUGCGAUAAGUAAUGUGAAUUGCAGAAUUCAGUGAAUCAUCGAGUCUUUGAACGCACAUUGCGCCCCCUGGCAUUCCGGGGGGCAUGCCUGUCCGAGCGUCAUUGCUGCCCUUCAAGCCCGGCUUGUGUGUUGGGUCGUCGUCCCCUCCGGGGGACGGGCCCGAAAGGCAGCGGCGGCACCGCGUCCGGUUCUCGAGCGUAUGGGGCUUUGUCACCCGCUCGAUAAGGACCGGCCGGGCGCCAGCCGGCGUCUCCAACCUUUUUUUCUCAGGUUGACCUCGGAUCAGGUAGGGAUACCCGCUGAACUUAAGC
rnacentral:misc_RNA from 1 species